UACGGAGGGCGCAAGCGUUGUUCGGAAUUACUGGGCGUAAAGCGCGUGUAGGUGGCCUGAAAAGUCGGGUGUGAAAUCCCGGAGCUCAACUCCGGAACUGCAUCCGAUACUGCCAGGCUCGAGUCUCGGAGAGGAUGGCGGAAUUUCCGGUGUAGAGGUGAAAUUCGUAGAUAUCGGAAGGAACACCAGUGGCGAAGGCGGCCGUCUGGACGAUGACUGACACUGAGACGCGAAAGCGUGGGGAGCAAACAGG
rnacentral:rRNA from 1 species